rnacentral:rRNA from 1 species
UGAACGCUAGCUACAGGCUUAACACAUGCAAGUCGAGGGGCAGCAUGGUCUUAGCUUGCUAAGGCCGAUGGCGACCGGCGCACGGGUGAGUAACGCGUAUCCAACCUGCCUUACACUCUUGGACAGCCUUCUGAAAGGGAGAUUAAUACAAGAUGUUAUCAUGAGUAAGCAUUUUCGCAUGAUUAAAGGUUUACCGGUGUAAGAUGGGGAUGCGUUCCAUUAGAUAGUAGGCGGGGUAACGGCCCACCUAGUCUUCGAUGGAUAGGGGUUCUGAGAGGAAGGUCCCCCACAUUGGAACUGAGACACGGUCCAAACUCCUACGGGAGGCAGCAGUGAGGAAUAUUGGUCAAUGGACGAGAGUCUGAACCAGCCAAGUAGCGUGAAGGAUGAAGGUUCUAUGGAUUGUAAACUUCUUUUAUACGGGAAUAAACGGAUCCACGUGUGGAUUUUUGCAUGUACCGUAUGAAUAAGGAUCGGCUAACUCCGUGCCAGCAGCCGCGGUAAUACGGAGGAUCCGAGCGUUAUCCGGAUUUAUUGGGUUUAAAGGGAGCGUAGAUGGGUUGUUAAGUCAGUUGUGAAAGUUUGCGGCUCAACCGUAAAAUUGCAAUUGAUACUGGCAGUCUUGAGUACAGUUGAGGUAGGCGGAAUUCGUGGUGUAGCGGUGAAAUGCUUAGAUAUCACGAAGAACUCCGAUUGCGAAGGCAGCUUACUAACCUGUAACCGACAUUGAUGCUCGAAAGUGUGGGUAUCAAACAGGAUUAGAUACCCUGGUAGUCCACACGGUAAACGAUGAAUACUCGCUGUAGGCGAUAUACAGUCUGCGGCCAAGCGAAAGCAUUAAGUAUUCCACCUGGGGAGUACGCCGGCAACGGUGAAACUCAAAGGAAUUGACGGGGGCCCGCACAAGCGGAGGAACAUGUGGUUUAAUUCGAUGAUACGCGAGGAACCUUACCCGGGCUUAAAUUGCAACCGAAUAUGGCGGAAACGCUAUAGCUAGCAAUAGCGGUUGUGAAGGUGCUGCAUGGUUGUCGUCAGCUCGUGCCGUGAGGUGUCGGCUUAAGUGCCAUAACGAGCGCAACCCUUGCCGAUAGUUACUAACAGGUCAUGCUGAGGACUCUGUCGGGACUGCCAUCGUAAGAUGUGAGGAAGGUGGGGAUGACGUCAAAUCAGCACGGCCCUUACGUCCGGGGCUACACACGUGUUACAAUGGGGGGUACAGAGGGCUGCUACCACGCAAGUGGAUGCCAAUCCCAAAAACCUCUCUCAGUUCGGAUUGAAGUCUGCAACCCGACUUCAUGAAGCUGGAUUCGCUAGUAAUCGCGCAUCAGCCACGGCGCGGUGAAUACGUUCCCGGGCCUUGUACACACCGCCCGUCAAGCCAUGGGAGCCGGGGGUACAAGAAGUGCGUAACCGCAAGGAGCGCCCUAGGGUAAAACUGGUG